UACGUAGGGUGCAAGCGUUGUCCGGAAUUAUUGGGCGUAAAGAGCUCGUAGGCGGUCUGUCACGUCGGCUGUGAAAACCUGGGGCUCAACUCCGGGCCUGCAGCCGAUACGGGCAGACUAGAGUUCGGCAGGGGAGACUGGAAUUCCUGGUGUAGCGGUGAAAUGCGCAGAUAUCAGGAGGAACACCGGUGGCGAAGGCGGUCUGCUGGGCAGUCGCUGACACUGAGGCGCGACAGCGUGGGGAGCAAACAGG
rnacentral:rRNA from 1 species